UUAAUCUAAUAGGCUGCACCUGGGGAUGACCCAGGCCUUGAAGGGAUGAUUGAAGAUGGAGCUCAGCUGGAGAGGAACGGGGGGCUGGUAUAAAGCUAGUAAAUUGACAGCAGAAAAGGGCUGCAGGGCAGAGAGUCUGAUACUAUGGAUUUCAGUAGCCUGCAGCUUCUCCCUGGGAGGAGAGAGUUUGAGCUGGUACACCCAGAGAGUGGGGAGCUAGAAGUUGUAGGAAGGAAUCCAGGGAAAGCAGACUACAGUUGCCAGGUAUAGGGUCCCUGGACUAGAACCUGGAAUAGUGGGUGGCCCUAGGUUCCCUUAUCAGCCACAGGACAAGUGGCACAGACCAGGCAGCAGAGUGCAGACUGCUUAGGAUAGUUGUCCAGUGGGACUUUCCUACCCUGGAAGGGGAGAACUAUAGUGACCUGGCUGGAGGGCUAAAACAUGAAGACAGAGCACCCUAAGACACAGAGAGUAAGAGAGAAUGGUGGCAGGGAUGCAGCAAGCAGUAGAAUAGGGUGUUGGAUCUGUAAAGAGCUAAUCCUCAGAGCUUCCAGGAGGAGGUGCCACCUACUGGUGAGUAAAGCACCCCAUGACAAAUGUAAGAUGGACCCCUGCAUAUCAACAGUGGCAAGUCUGGGAGAAGCAGUAUCUUCUAAUUACACCAAGAUCCAGUAGCUUCAACAUCCUGGGUGACCAGUGCAAAUGGGGAGUGGCUGCUCCUCCAACCCACAGGCUGGGAGAGCAGUCACAAGAAUGGAGGGAUCCAUCUCCAUCUACUCUCGUUGCUCUCUCACCUGCAUAGAGACCACAAUUCACAAGAUGCAGUAAUGGACAGUAAAACCAAGUGCGUGUGUGUGAGGGGAGGUGAUUUUGCCCUUUAUUUGUUGAGAUUGUUAAUGCCUCUAGAAGGGAGAAUAAAAGAUGUUUAGCUUUCCUUAGGCAAACUGGUCAGUUGCUGCCCUGUCUCUAAACUUCCUCGUUUGUGAAAAGCAACAAAGAGGAUUUUGGUGAAUCAGUUCUGAUGCCAGCUGGAUUCUCCUGAUUUCCCUGUCUCUGUUUGGUCUGGCUUUCUGCUAGUGGCAAA